rnacentral:rRNA from 1 species
AGUGAACGCUGGCGGUAGGCCUAACACAUGCAAGUCGAACGGCAGCACAGUAAGAGCUUGCUCUUACGGGUGGCGAGUGGCGGACGGGUGAGGAAUACAUCGGAAUCUACUUUUUCGUGGGGGAUAACGUAGGGAAACUUACGCUAAUACCGCAUACGACCUACGGGUGAAAGCAGGGGCUCUUCGGACCUUGCGCGAUUGAAUGAGCCGAUGUCGGAUUAGCUAGUAGGCGGGGUAAAGGCCCACCAAGGCGACGAUCCGUAGCUGGUCUGAGAGGAUGAUCAGCCACACUGGAACUGAGACACGGUCCAGACUCCUACGGGAGGCAGCAGUGGGGAAUAUUGGACAAUGGGCGCAAGCCUGAUCCAGCCAUACCGCGUGUGUGAAGAAGGCCUUCGGGUUGUAAAGCCCUUUUGUUGGGAAAGAAAAGCAGCAGGUUAAUACCCCGCUGUUCUGACGGUACCCAAAGAAUAAGCACCGGCUAACUUCGUG